rnacentral:sRNA from 1 species
UUUUGUUUUUCUUCUUGUUU